GACGAACGCUGGCGGCGUGCUUAACACAUGCAAGUCGAACGAAGUGGCGAACGGGUGAGUAACGCGUAAUCAACCUGCCCUUCAGAGGGGGACAACAGUUGGAAACGACUGCUAAUACCGCAUACUGAAGGAGGGUAUUGCGUCUGAUCAGCUAGUUGGAGGGGUAACGGCCCACCAAGGCGAUGAUCAGUAGCCGGUCUGAGAUGAGGAACGGCAAAAUGGGGACUGAGACACUGCCCAGAAUCCUACGGGAUGCAGCAGUGGGGAAUCUUCCGCAAUGGACGAAAGUCUGACGGAGCAACGCCGCGUGAGAGAUGACGGCUUUCGGGUUGUAAAGCGCUGUUAAUCGGGACGCGGUACCGGAAUAGAAAGCCACGGCUAACUACGUGCCAGCAGCCGCGGUAAUAC
rnacentral:rRNA from 1 species